rnacentral:misc_RNA from 1 species
GUUUUGUUGAACUAAUAUCUUGUAAGCAUGAUAAUACACUCUAAUAUGGAGACCGACUUGAAGGGCCUAUAUGUUGCUGUUGAUGCUCUGUUUCUAAAUGUUCAUUUUGCUUUCAACAUGAUUAUUAGACUAAAGGAAGGGAAAAUAAGGGUGGAAUGGGGGUUCAAACCAGAAAUAUGGGCAUUUAAAUAGUCAUAGCUAUCUUGCUGUAGGAAGUGUAUGUCACAGAAUCCGUGUUAGGGUUUUGCUUUAGAGAAUAAGAAGAAAGGAG